rnacentral:rRNA from 1 species
ACGCGCGGAACCUUACCAGGUCUUGACAUCCUCUGACACUCCUAGAGAUAGGACGUUCCCCUUCGGGGGACAGAGUGACAGGUGGUGCAUGGUUGUCGUCAGCUCGUGUCGUGAGAUGUUGGGUUAAGUCCCGCAACGAGCGCAACCCUUGAUCUUAGUUGCCAGCAUUAAGUUGGGCACUCUAAGGUGACUGCCGGUGACAAACCGGAGGAAGGUGGGGAUGACGUCAAAUCAUCAUGCCCCUUAUGACCUGGGCUACACACGUGCUACAAUGGAUGGUACAAAGGGCAGCAAAGCGGUGACGCCUAGCGAAUCCCAUAAAACCAUUCUCAGUUCGGAUUGUAGGCUGCAACUCGCCUACAUGAAGCUGGAAUCGCUAGUAAUCGCGGAUCAGCAUGCCGCGGUGAAUACGUUCCCGGGCCUUGCACACACCGCCCGU